AUGGCGCCAAAAAGGAGCACUAGGGCAGCAGCGGGUAUUGAGAAGGAGUUGCCGGCUAGAACUACGAGGCCGCCCAGGAGCAAGGCAACAGCUGAGCCUGAGCCUAGAAGAAAAGCACCUAGUAAGGCGCCCAUGCGCAAGGCAGCUCCAAGACGCGCGGGUAAGCAGGAUGAGGGCGCGCUGGAAGGGAUUUCCCAGAAUCUUGCUCGCUUGGUGGAUAGAAUGGGAAAACUUGAAUCUAGAGUUUAUCAGAGAUCCGACAGGGCAUCAGUAUCCCCGCAACGGGAUGCAACAAGGGGCAGGAGACGCACGAGGGACAGGGACGUCUCCAGGACACCCUCAGCUAGUCCAGUAUCCAGCGGUGACGACUCCACAGCGGCCACCGAGCGGACCGAACGGAGUGGCGGCAGUGCUCGCAAGAGGUCGCGCAGGUCUUCCAGACGUUGUUGCCAGACUGCUACCGACAGCGACUCCACGGAGAGACGACAGGUUUCGGUCGCUAGCGCCGGACGCAGACCUCCAGCCCACCAUUUUCCCACAGGAGCUGUGGACCCUUGGAGAGGAGAGGCCUGGUCAGAACUAAUGCUAACCAUCGCACCUGCGACCAGGAGGGCUUACCGUGCAGCUAUGACAGCAUUCACCAAGUUCAGGCUGGAAGCGGGUUAUGGCAGCAGAUGGCCAACCAGCGAGGACGAGGUGCUACAUUUCAUCAUUCGCCAGAGGAGGGCCAACGUCUCAGCACACGCCAUGCGGCGGCAACUGGCAGGCAUUGCCUUCUACAGCAAAGCGGCAGGAUGGGGAGACCCAUGCAACGACUACAGAACAAGGAAGUUACUGAGAGGGUGGAGCAAGAGGGCGCCAAGACAGAAAGACAGACGACGUCCCCUCUCCUACAACAUCCUUAGCAGGCUCAUCUCGUCACUGAAGAAAAUCUGCACUUCACGUUGCGAGGUGAAACUUUUCACAGCAGCUUAUACCACAGCUUUCUUCGGGGCACUCAGACUGGGGGAGGUGGUGGCCGACUCCAAGGCUGAUGGGUCAGGGAAGGCACUACAGCUCAGGGAUGUCUCCAUCGGGCAUAACUCGUUAGUGAUUAGGAUCAGACAAUCCAAGACCGAUCAAGGGGGGAGAGGGGCAUCCCUCAGCAUUCAAGGGUUAGAACCAGGGCGGUUAUGUCCAGUCAGGGCACUUUCCGAAUAUCUACACAUACGCAGGUCAUCCUCAGGUACACUUUUCAUUCAUCAAGGUACCAGUUCAUGGCGAUAUUCCGCAGCGCACUAACCGGCCUGGGCCUCCCCGCAGCGGAAUACGGAGGGCAUUCAUUCAGGAUAGGAGCAGCCACCACUGCAGCGGUGGGGGGCGUGCCAGUGGACAUCAUAAAAACCAUGGGGAGGUGGAAAUCAGCAGCUUACACUUCAUACAUCAGACCCGGCCUUCUACAGGAGGCUACGAGGUCUGCCGGCCCCUCUCCUCCUUUUCUUCAGGUGCGCUGCCGUGAACUGAGAAGAUCGGUCGAAGGGACGGAGAUGGCAUCAUACAGUAGCGGUCAGUCGGGAGGAACCGGGCGCCGAGGACGCCACAGGAAGGACAAAAUUGCCCGCUAGGCACUGGACGGAUUGUCUAGGACUCUCGCAAAAGUGGCGAGGUGGUGGAGGACUCAGGUUAUCGGACAGCUGCAUGGCAGCGCUUCAGGCCCACUGCUGGGGCAAGCGGUAUCCAGUUAUUCACAUUGUUAUUCAAGUCAUUGUUUUAUUUUGUUGGCUAUGGAAGUUAGGGUUGGCGGCAAGGAGAGUGGGGGGUCCCCACCCUCCUUUUGUGGCGUAUGACAUGGGUCGCGGAUCUCGUAAAAUACUCCACCCCCCCCCCUUUUCAUUGGCAUUAGGGGGGAGGGGAUAUUUUGGCCACCGCCAGGUGGCGCUGGAGACCGACUACCGGGUCAGGUGUCGGUUGUGCCGUGACUCUUGUGGAUCAGACAGCAUUGGGCUGUCUGAUCGUUGAUCCGGGACCCAUGCAGGCAGCCAACCCUUCAUUCUGUAACCAAUAAAAUGUUGUGGCCAGUUUUACCCAAAGCAGUUAUUGUCAGUGUGUUUAUUGUUAACCAGCAUACGGCGGGGACAGUCGACCAUGCCCACGCAAAGGGCAGGGCCCGACUCACCGGGCCCUGCAGGUUGCUGGGAAGGGCGCUCCCCCCCCUCCCAGCAUGGCAGCGAUCAGGGGGCUUCUUCUUCCCAGGAGCCCCCUCGGCGCGGCGGGAAAGUUUCCCGCCGUCAGGGCCCUCCGUGGGCGGGGCCGCACCAGGCUCCGCCCCCAACAAGGUCUUCAGCAGCCAUUCUGAGGCUGCAGCUUGCCAUCCCGCCCACCCUGCUGGCUUUUAUGUUACUUUGUUUGUCACAACUGUUGGUGGCGUAUGACAUGGGUCGCGGAUCUCGUAAAAUACUCCACCCCCCCCCUUUUCAUUGGCAUUAGGGGGGAGGGGAUAUUUUGGCCACCGCCAGGUGGCGCUGGAGACCGACUACCGGGUCAGGUGUCGGUUGUGCCGUGACUCUUGUGGAUCAGACAGCAUUGGGCUGUCUGAUCGUUGAUCCGGGACCCAUGCAGGCAGCCAACCCUUCAUUCUGUAACCAAUAAAAUGUUGUGGCCAGUUUUACCCAAAGCAGUUAUUGUCAGUGUGUUUAUUGUUAACCAGCAUACGGCGGGGACAGUCGACCAUGCCCACGCAAGUGGUGCCCAGAGGACUCCACCUGACUUCUCACAGAAGAAGCCAGGGAGGAUGUGGGAGGAAGCUGAGGGCAGGGGGGAAAUGUCAUGGGAAGGGAUCCGAUGAAUAUGACCACCGACGGUAAGGACACGAAGCAUUACGUUGCCCCACAGUUUCCUCUGCUGUCCUCCGGCUUAUGGACCUCAAUGUGAUGAGGUUCUGUAUCAUAGAAGCGGCAAAGCUGUUUCUGAGGCAUGAACUAGAAUUCUGCUGUGUUGGAUAUAUUUGCUCUUGUUUCAAACUACCACCACCAGUAGCAACUAUGGAGGAGAAAUCAGGACAGAGGAUUCGAUGCAUGGAGAAGGGGAUGAAUCCCAUCAUCUCCACUAUGGUUCUGACAACUACUCUGCAGACUACUCUGGAAGCUGCUCUUGGUGCCCACAGGAAAGUAGAAAGUUCUAGGGGAUGAUGGGACCAUAAUAUUGGCAGACUUUGCUCAACCAUUGUUCAAACUGAGGGGGUUGUUUACAAUAACAGAUUUUAUGUGCUAUGAAAAGGAGAGAAAAAAAACUCUUAAACUUUACACAGUACUGCCCCACAGUACUGUAUUCUGCAUUUACUGUGAGGUUGAAAGAGAAAUACUUGUGGAAUUUUCUGUACCUGAUCCAAAAAAAGCAGUUAGGCUUUGAAAUUCUUUGCACUAUGGCUUGUACAGGUGAGAUCAUCAUUUGAUUCCAUUGUGCCUCAGGAGGCGAACAAUGUCAUGUAUGGCUUUUGUGUGGUUAAUUUUCCUCCUUGAUUGUUUUUCUCCUACCUGCUGCCAAAGGUACCGUGUUUCCCCGAAAAUAAGACAGUGUCUUAUAUUAAUUUUUGCUCCCAAACAUGCGCUAGGUCUUGUUUUCAGGGGAUGUCUUAUUUUUCCAUGAAGAAGAAUUCACAUUUAUUGUUGAACAAAAAAAUGAAAAUUUAUUAUAUACUGUACAGUAGUUGUCAUCACAAAUCAGCAGAACCAGAUAAACUGUGAAUCCUAUCAAGAAUUUCCUGUUACUACCACUAUUUCCAUGUACAACAAUCUAUGGUACGAACAUUUACUGAUCCUGCCUGCUCUGGUGUUCUGUUUGGCAGGCAUGCUUCCAAACAAAAACUUUGCUAGGUCUUACUUUCAGGGGAGGUCUUAUAUUUAGCAAUGCAGCAAAACCUCUACUAGGUCUUAUUUUCUGGAGAUGUCUUAUUUUAGGGGAAACAGGGUAGCCAUGGAUAAUAGAACAAGGCUCCUUUAUCCUUAAUGAUUCUUUGGAAAAGGUAAUAUUGGUAUCUGUUCAGCAAUUAGUAUAUCAUAAGCUGGACUCAUAAUAUCCUAACUGCCGAGGAUUCAUAUAUAUGGUCAUGAUCUGUCUCCACAGUCUGGCAGCAGCAUAAUGGAAGUAUUUCUUAGAUGCUGGAGAUUGGAGCACUGGGGUAUCACAUCCACCUUGGGACAAGCAGCUGUAGCAGGAACCCAAGAAAAGUCUCCAGCUACCUGUUCUUAAGAUAUCUCAGGACCAGGAAAGUGCUGUGGACAUAAUUUCCCAGUGCUCUCCUCUCCAUCACUGAAGAAAUGCUUUGGUCCAGACACCAUCAGGCUUCAAAAGUAUUAUGGAGUGGAGAUCAACAGUCAUAACUACAAUGG
rnacentral:lncRNA from 1 species